AUUGAACGCUGGCGGCAGGCCUACCACAUGCAAGUCGAACGAGUGGCGGACGGGUGAGUAAUGUCUGGGAAACUGCCUGCUGGAGGGGGAUAACUACUGGAAACGGUAGCUAAUACCGCAUACCAUCGGAUGUGCCCAGAUGGGAUUAGCUAGUAGGUGGGGUAAAGGCUCACCUAGGCGACGAUCCCUAGCUGGUCUGAGAGGAUGAACAGCCACACUGGAACUGAGACACGGUCCAGACUACUACGGGAGGCAGCAGUGGGGAAUAUUGAACAAGGGGCGCAAGCCUGAUGCAGCCAUGACGCGUGGAUGAAGAAGGCCGUCGGGUUGUAAAGGACUUUCAGCGGGGAGGCGUUACCCGAAGAAGAAGCACCAGCUAAAUCCGUACCAGCAGCCGCGGUAAUAC
rnacentral:rRNA from 1 species